UGUAAGUCGAACGGAGCUGUUUUCUCUGAAGUUUUCGGAUGGAAGAGAGUUCAGCUUAGUGGCGAACGGGUGAGUAACACGUGAGCAACCUGCCUUUCAGUGGGGGACAACAUUUGGAAACGAAUGCUAAUACCGCAUAAGACCACAGUGUCGCAUGGCACAGGGGUCAAAGGAUUUAUCCGCUGAAAGAUGGGCUCGCGUCCGAUUAGCUAGAUGGUGAGGUAACGGCCCACCAUGGCGACGAUCGGUAGCCGGACUGAGAGGUUGAACGGCCACAUUGGGACUGAGACACGGCCCAGACUCCUACGGGAGGCAGCAGUGGGGAAUAUUGCACAAUGGGGGAAACCCUGAUGCAGCGACGCCGCGUGGAGGAAGAAGGUCUUCGGAUUGUAAACUCCUGUCCCAGGGGACGAUAAUGACGGUACCCUGGGAGGAAGCACCGGCUAACUACGUGCCAGCAGCCGCGGUAAAACGUAGGGUGCAAGCGUUGUCCGGAAUUACUGGGUGUAAAGGGAGCGCAGGCGGAUUGGCAAGUUGGGAGUGAAAUCUAUGGGCUCAACCCAUAAAUUGCUUUCAAAACUGUCAGUCUUGAGUGGUGUAGAGGUAGGCGGAAUUCCCGGUGUAGCGGUGGAAUGCGUAGAUAUCGGGAGGAACACCAGUGGCGAAGGCGGCCUACUGGGCACUAACUGACGCUGAGGCUCGAAAGCAUGGGUAGCAAACAGGAUUAGAUACCCUGGUAGUCCAUGCCGUAAACGAUGAUUACUAGGUGUGGGAGGAUUGACCCCUUCCGUGCCGCAGUUAACACAAUAAGUAAUCCACC
rnacentral:rRNA from 1 species